AUUGAACGCUGGCGGCAGGCCUAACACAUGCAAGUCGAACGGUAACAGGAAGCAGCUUGCUGCUUCGCUGACGAGUGGCGGACGGGUGAGUAAUGUCUGGGAAACUGCCUGAUGGAGGGGGAUAACUACUGGAAACGGUAGCUAAUACCGCAUAACGUCGCAAGACCAAAGAGGGGGACCUUAGGGCCUCUUGCCAUCGGAUGUGCCCAGAUGGGAUUAGCUAGUAGGUGGGGUAACGGCUCACCUAGGCGACGAUCCCUAGCUGGUCUGAGAGGAUGACCAGCCACACUGGAACUGAGACACGGUCCAGACUCCUACGGGAGGCAGCAGUGGGGAAUAUUGCACAAUGGGCGCAAGCCUGAUGCAGCCAUGCCGCGUGUAUGAAGAAGGCCUUCGGGUUGUAAAGUACUUUCAGCGGGGAGGAAGGGAGUAAAGUUAAUAUCUUUGCUCAUUGACGUUACCCGCAGAAGAAGCACCGGCUAACUCCGUG
rnacentral:rRNA from 1 species